AUCAUUUUAACGGUUGGCAGGGUUGUGGUUAGGUUUUGUGGGUGUGGAGGCCUGACAGUGACUGGAACACAGCCGGCGUACAGACAGCCAUAGAAUGUGGCGAUCAGAUCGAUACCUGCAAAGUAGGAAGACAGAGAGGAGGAUAAACAAGUGCUACAUGAUCUCCAGUGUUAAGUCGACCUCUUUCCAUCAGCGCUACGGCCACACGCUCUGCCCGCUUGUGGAGCUGUACACAGGAGGCUGUGUUGGCCACAGUGCCCUGAAAAAAUAAAACGCACAUAGACAAAAACAGAGGGUGAUCUGGUGUGGCCUGAGCUCUCCACUGCAGAACAUCCUGCAUGUACAGGAACUACAAGAGGAGAGAUGACACAUUCAGACAACAGCAUACUUCAGGACCUGCCCCU